rnacentral:misc_RNA from 1 species
UUGAGAAGUAGAAACUGAAUCUUUGUAUUACUCUUAUGAUGAUCUUUAUUUCUUAUGCAACAGUAUUUAUACUACUCUGCUACUUUCUAAUAACUGUUCCCGCCCUUGCCUACAAUUUGAUAUUUCCCUCCAAAAUCAACUAACUCAGCUCCAACACUUCUUUAUACUUUGCAUUACAUUUAAUAAUUCCUCUACUCUAUUUUUUUCCUAAACCUCUUUCUCUGGUAUGUAACAAUACCCCUUCCUUCCUUGAGCACCUACUUGUCCCAAGAAGGUGUACAAGGCUGGAAAUUGAGAUAUGAGAAAGGAAUCAUCCUCCCAAGUAGCAUCCUCUUGGGGUAGCCCAUUCCAUUGAAUAAGAGAUUGUGGCACCUGCAUAUUCUGCCUGACAAUUACUCUAUUCUGUAACACCUGAACUGGCUUAACUUUCACCUGAUCGUCUACCAAUUUAGGAAGCUCCAAAAUAGGUAUCUUGUUAUCCCCAAUCUUCUUCUUAAGUAAUGAAACAUGGAAAACUAGAUGGACAGUAGAAGAUUCUGGCAACUUCAACUUGUAAGCAACUGCUCCCACUUUUUCCACAACUUGAAAAGGACCAUAAUAUUUGGCAGAUAACUUGAGAUGCUUCCUCACAGCAAUAGUGGUCUGCCUAUAU